rnacentral:rRNA from 1 species
AACGAACGCUGGCGGCAGGCUUAACACAUGCAAGUCGAACGCCCCGCAAGGGGAGUGGCAGACGGGUGAGUAACGCGUGGGAACAUACCCUUUCCUGCGGAAUAGCUCUGGGAAACUGGAAUUAAUACCGCAUUCGCCCUACGGGGGAAAGGUUUAUCGGGGAAGGAUUGGCCCGCGUUGGAUUAGCUAGUUGGUGGGGUAAAGGCCUACCAAGGCGACGAUCCAUAGCUGGUCUGAGAGGAUGAUCAGCCACAUUGGGACUGAGACACGGCCCAAACUCCUACGGGAGGCAGCAGUGGGGAAUAUUGGACAAUGGGCGCAAGCCUGAUCCAGCCAUGCCGCGUGAGUGAUGAAGGCCUUAGGGUUGUAAAGCUCUUUCACCGAUGAAGAUAACGACGGUAGUCGGAGAAGAAGCCCCGGCUAACUUCGUGCCAGCAGCCGCCGCCGUAA